CUUUUUUUUUUUUUUUUUUUUUUUUUUAUUUAUGUAUAUACAUAUGUAUAUAUAUAUAUAUAUUUAUGUAAUAUUUAAAAUCAUAUUUUUUAGACAUACUUCAUUGUAAAUGUUGUAGAAUUCUGUGUUAAACACAAAUAUAAACUUCUUUUAAUUUAAAAUAAAUAAUACAGCUUUUUAUGAAAAAGUCAUGUAAAAACGAAAAAAAAAUGGCUAGUUAACAUUAUUUAUUCGAUUUUGGUAAGAUUUUUUUUUUUUUUUUUCUUUUAAAUAUAUAUACAUAUAUAUAUUAUUCACUUAAAUUGUAAUUUAAAAAAGGUUAAAUUAUUCGGAUAAAAAUAUAUAUUAAAUUUUUAAUAGUAAACUGUCUACAUAUAUAUGCAUGUGUGCAUAUGGAUAUAUGUUUAGUUCGUUUGUAAUUUAAAAUAUAUAGUUUAUUUGAAUAAAAAGAUAAAUUUCCGUCUUCAUUAAUUAAAUGUCUUUUUUUUUUUUUUUUUUUUUUUUUUUUUUUUUGUUGUAUUAAAAGCUUUACUGUACAAUAUACAUUGAAUAUUAAUACUUUUAUUUUGUUAUAUUUUGUGUUUCUUUUAACAGGGGAUUAACAAAUUUUGUUUAUAUUUUUAUAUAUAUAUAUAUAUAUAUAUAUAUAUACAUAACUUUAAAAAGAUUUUUUUAAAGGUAUCCUUUCAAAAACGUCCUUUCAAAAACGUCCUUUCAAAAACAUUCUUUUAAAAACAUUUUUUUAAAAACAAUAUUAAAAUAUACUUACAUUUUUCAACAUGGAGAAUAUAAACAAAAAAGAAAUUUUGGCAAGUUAUUUACAAUUGUGUAAUAAAAAUGAUAUGGUUGAUGCAGUACUAAAAUAUUGUGAUGAUGAAAAUGGUGUAAUUUUUAAUAAGCACCCUGCCAAAAAUGAAAACAAGUUUUCAGAUAUCUUUCAUUAUUCAGAUCUUUCCGAAUCAAACAUAUCAAAUACUACAAAUAGCUUGAAUUUAUUAGAUUAUGAAAAGUCUUUACAAAGUUUAACAAAUAGUAUAGAAGAAAAAUAUAAAAAGAGUAAUCAAAAUAGUGUGAGAUCCAUUGCUUAUUUUUCUAGCAAAAAUUUUGAGGAAACAUUACCAAAAAAUGAUAAAGAAACCGAUAAUUAUAAAUCUUAUAGCCUACAUAAAAUACACGAUGAACCAAAAAAAAAUAAUAAAUUAACCAGAGAGGAAAUAUUAAACAAAGUUAAAGAAUCAAUGAGACAAAUAGAAUCUUUGAAAGGAAAAGAAUAUAUGAAAAAAGUAGAUUCUAUUUACGAUAUAAUUGAUAGUGUAUGUGAUGUUAUAGUACCGGAAGGUAGAGCAAUGCUUUUAAAUAUUAGUGAAAAUUAUGGGUAUAUAUUACUUGAGGAUGGCACAUAUAAUUUUUAUCCUCUCGAAAUGAUAAACAUAAAUCCAGCCUAUUUAAAAAAAAAUCCAUUGCUUAACCUUAAUUACAGCUACAAAGAUAUAAUGCUGAACCACACAAAAAAUAUUACAGAAUUAAAAUUUAAAAAUGCAUAUAGUAAUAAUAGUAAGUUAAAGAAUAAUGUAAACGAAAAGAAACUUGAUGAUAAAUUCCUUAAUUUUUCUAACAAACUGAGUCAUUUAAAAGAUUAUAUAAUAAAAAACGAAAAAGGUGAUAAUACAAUAGAUAUCGAUAACUAUUUGGUUCGUGAAGAUUUUGAUAAAGACCAAGCCAAAGAUAAUGAACUUGAUAAAAACGGUUUACGAAGGAAUCAAUAUAUGCUUAGAAAGGGUGUAAAACUUAAUCAAUUAAAUACUGUUUACAAAAUAGAAAGUGUAGCACCAUAUGUGCUUUCCGACCCAGUGAAUGAAGCUGAUGAAAAAGUGUAUUGUUGUAAACUAAUUUAAAAUAAGUAAUUUUUAUUAAUAUAAAAACAAAUUGUUUUGCUUUUCACACUGUGAAAGUUGGUUAUUUAUAAAAUAUUAUUUAUACUUAAGGUAAUCACAUGUGGCUUUAAUUUAUUAACAAUUAUUUAUUUCUCUCUCUCUCUCUCUCUCUCUCUCUCUCUCUCUCUCUCUAUAUAUAUAUAUAUAUAUAUAUAUAUAUAUAUAUAUAUAUAUAUAUACAUUGUUUAUUAAACACUUCCUAUACGAUUCUUUUUUCCUACAUGUUACAAUUCUACUUUGUUUUUUUUUGUUUUUUUUUUUUGUUUUUUUUACUUUGUUUUUUUUUACUUUGUUUUUUUUUACUUUGUUUUUUUUACUUUUUUUUUUGUUAAAUAUUGUCCGUAUCACGGUGUAAGAAGCCUUUUCAAUCGUUUACGUAAAUAUAAUUUUGUUUUAUUGUAUUGGAACUUAAGUAAACACAGGAAGUGUUUUUAUAUAACAAAAAAUAUACUAAACACAUAUUAAAAUGUCAUAUAAUUAAAAUGGGCUUAUAUCUUUUUUAGUAUGUUGUAAUUUUACUAAUUAUUAGAUGUGGUCAAUAAUAACAAAAGUAAGUUAUUUGUACACUUAUUUAUAUAAUAUAAUUUUGUAAGUAUUUGUACUAAAAAUUUACUUUUACUCCAAUUUUUAUUUUUUUUAAUAAAAAUGUUAUUAAAAAAAUGGAAAAAAAAAAA
rnacentral:lncRNA from 1 species